UGCUUAACACAUGCAAGUCGAACGGGAAACCUUUUAUUGAAGCUUCGGCAGAUUUAGAUUGUUUCUAGUGGCGGACGGGUGAGUAACGCGUGGGUAACCUGCCUUAUACAGGGGGAUAACAGUCAGAAAUGACCGCUAAUACCGCAUAAGCGCACAGAGCUGCAUGGCUCGGUGUGAAAAACUCCGGUGGUAUAAGAUGGACCCGCGUUGGAUUAGCUAGUUGGUGAGGUAACGGCCCACCAAGGCGACGAUCCAUAGCCGGCCUGAGAGGGUGAACGGCCACAUUGGGACUGAGACACGGCCCAGACUCCUACGGGAGGCAGCAGUGGGGAAUAUUGCACAAUGGGGGAAACCCUGAUGCAGCGACGCCGCGUGAAGGAAGAAGUAUCUCGGUAUGUAAACUUCUAUCAGCAGGGAAGAAAAUGACGGUACCUGACUAAGAAGCCCCGGCUAACUACGUGCCAGCAGCCGCGGUAAUACGUAGGGGGCAAGCGUUAUCCGGAUUUACUGGGUGUAAAGGGAGCGUAGACGGAUGGACAAGUCUGAUGUGAAAGGCUGGGGCUCAACCCCGGGACUGCAUUGGAAACUGCCCGUCUUGA
rnacentral:rRNA from 1 species